rnacentral:rRNA from 1 species
AUUGAACGCUGGCGGCAGGCCUAACACAUGCAAGUCGAACGAGUGGCGGACGGGUGAGUAAUGUCUGGGAAACUGCCUGAUGGAGGGGGAUAACUACUGGAAAUGGUAGCUAAUACCGCAUACCAUCGGAUGUGCCCAGAUGGGAUUAGCUGGUAGGUGGGGUAACGGGUCACCUAGGCGACGAUCCCUAGCUGGUCUGUGAGGAUGAACGGCCACACUGUAGGUGGGACGGGGUCCAGGCUCCUGCGAGAGGCAGCAGUGGGGAAGAUUGCACAAUGGGCGCAAGCCUGAUGCAUCCAGGCCGCGUGUAUGGAGAAGGCCUUCGGGUUGUAAAGUACUUUCAGCGGGGAGGCGUUACCCGCAGAAGAAGCACCGGCUAACUCCGUGCCAGCAGCCGCGGUAAUAC